UACAGAGGGGGCAAGCGUUAUUCGGAAUUAUUGGGCGUAAAGGGCGCGUAGGCGGCUUUGCAAGUGACGGGUGAAAUCCCUCGGCUUAACCGAGGAACUGCCUGUCAAACUGCAUGGCUUGAGACCGGGAGAGGUGAGUGGAAUUCCCAGUGUAGCGGUGAAAUGCGUAGAUAUUGGGAGGAACACCAGUGGCGAAGGCGGCUCACUGGACCGGUACUGACGCUGAGGCGCGAAAGCGUGGGGAGCAACAGG
rnacentral:rRNA from 1 species